GGUCAUGUAGCUCAGCUGGAAGAGCGCCAGACAUGAAUGCUGGAGGCCUGGGUUCAAUCCCUAGCGUGGCCG